AGAAAGAUGGGGACCAUGCAGGGUGAGAGACAUGCAGGAGGGCACCAACAGCUUCCAGUUCUGCUCCUCCUGCCCCACCUCUCGCCCUCAGUGUUGUCAUAGACAGAGGGAGGGACUAGGAGGGACUGGGCCUGAGUGCAGUGACAGAGGCCCAGGCAGGGCAGGUGUGGGCAGAGCUGUUCUGCAGGCAGAGAGAAGGUGCAGAGAGGCGAGACAGAGCGGGCCUGGCCAUGUGGAGGGCCCUGUGCGUGGCCUUAUUGCCCAUUGUAGUCACUGGACAGGUGGCCUUGGAGCAGCACCCCAGGGAACUGACCGUGCGAAUGGGAGAUCACGUCACCUUCCAGUGCAGCAUGAAAGUAGGUUAUAUGAGCAGCUACUACAUGUACUGGUACCGCCAGGGCCCAAAGAGCACUCUGGAAUGGAUUUACAGGGAGGGUGAUAUCUAUGGAGAAGGUUUCCAAGAUCGCUUUGUGGGAAAAGUGCAGAGCUCCAUGAACAGAUUCACACUGCACAUCCUGUCAACAAAGCAAGGGGAUGCAGCAACAUAUUACUGUGGAGCAGAACCACCCUGGAGCAGCUCUGCAGCAGAGUGGACCAAAAACCAACAGAUGGGGAAGACAGAUCUCUCAGCAUUUCUUUCUAGCAGCUGCUCCCCAGGGCUCUUGUCAGGCAGUGCAGGGAGGGUGGUAGAAGGGCUGGUAGCAUUUGUGGUGCAGGAGGAUCUCUUCUGGGAACUGCAGAGGCAGUCAGUUCAUAACACAUUUUGUCUGCCACUUCUUCCUUCCCAUGCCCUUCCCCUGCUCCAGAGUGUGAAGUCCAGCCCACAGGAGACAUUUCUCCCGGAAUUUUUCACCUUUGGUUCUUCGCAUUGAGUGCAGUUCUUCACAAACUCCUCCAGUGUGGGUCUACAGUUCCCAGUGCAGUCCUUCAGGAACAGACUGCUUCAGUGUGGGUCCCUGCAGGUUCUCCCAGAAAACCUGCUAUGACAUGGGCUACUUAUUCCAUGAGACCGCAGUUCCUGUCAGGAGCCUGCUCCAACGUGAGCUCUGCAUGGAGUCACAGACAUUUUCAGGACGUACCCAGCUGCUUCUGUGUGGGGAACUCUAUGGGCUGCAGGGCCAAUAUCUGCUCCACCAUCAGUUGACAUCACCUGCAUCACCAUGGGCUUCACCGUGGGCAGCAGGGUUAUCUCUGCUCUGGCCUCUGCAGCAGCUCCUGGC